UUUAACGGCCGCGGUAUUUUGACCGUGCAAAGGUAGCGCAAUCACUUGUCUUUUAAAUGAAGACCUGUAUGAAUGGCAUAACGAGGGCUUAACUGUCUCCUUUUUCCAGUCAAUGAAAUUGAUCUCCCCGUGCAGAAGCGAGGAUAUUAACAUAAGACGAGAAGACCCUAUGGAGCUUUAGACACCAGAACAGACCAUGUCAAACACCCCUUAAAUGAAGGACAAAACUAAUUGGCCCCUGUUCUAAUGUCUUUGGUUGGGGCGACCGCGGGGAAACAAAAAACCCCCAUGUGGACCGGGAGCACACUCACUCCUACAACCCAGAGGCACAACUCCAAGUAACAGAACUUCUGACCAACAAGAUCCGGCACAUAGCCGAUCAACGGACCGAGUACCCUAGG
rnacentral:rRNA from 1 species